CAGCGGAAGGCGAUGUCGAGACGCGGCUGCCGUGGGCGCAGGCGCAGUGCAGGGGGGUGGGGCUGGGAUCGCCAAAAGCGGUCCUCAAAGCUGGACGUGGAAGGGUGAGGACAUCUGCGGGAUGCUUUCCACCUGAGGGAUGGAAAAGCCCAGCAGAACGCGAAGAAAGUGAGAAGGAUUUGGAGAGGUUUUGAAAAAAAGGAAGAAAAAAAAAAAAAAAAGGGAUUUCUGGCUGCGCCCCCAAAGGUCUGGCCCCGCGGGAAUCAGGCGGUCCCUGGGCCCUCCUUUGAGGGUGCUCCCUCAAAUUGAGAUGUCGGGGACUCCUUGGCGGGAAUUUCUGUGGCGGACUCAGCUGACAGCUGUGAGGAAGAGAUGCAUCGGGUUCCACUCAGAGCCUGUUCCUUAGCUGUGUGACCUUUCCGUGUGUCCCCGCCCCCAACACCACUGGCAAAACCCGCAGGAGGCAGGCAUGAACAGUGGGGCAAGACUGGAGCUUCUCACGGAAGGGUUCUUACAGCAUCUAGAGAGCCCAGAGUAUUUCCUUAAAAGAAAAAAAAAAGCAACAUUUUAUUUUAUUAUUAUUUUUUGUACGUGUGUAGGUGUUCUGCCUGCAUGUAUAUCAGUGCACCACGUGUGUGCCUGGUGCUGGCAAAAAUCAGAAGGUGUUGGAGUCUCCAGAACUGGAGUUGGAGUUACAGAUGCUCAUGGAUGCUGGGAAUCAAACCCCACCCCCCUAGAAAAGCAGCCAGUACUCCUAACUGCUGAGCCAUCUUUCAAGCCUCACCCUCCACCCCCCAGUGUAUUUCUUAAAUAAAGGAUAUUGAAUUCAGGAAGGUUGACUGACUUGCUUGCUCGAAGCUGGAUCGAGGGUCUUGCCAGCACACACCACAGCCUUUGAAAGGUUUGGUGGUGAAUGUUCCUAGAUCGUGUUUUUGUAACCUAGAGGAAAAUAAAGUGGCUUUCUUGGCUGGGGAUGGGGAGGAAUGAUUCCUGCUCUCCUUCAGGGUCGUCAUUACCAUCUUAUCCAAUAGACAAGGAAAAUGUUUAGUCGUAAUGAUUGAUGCCAUUGUUAAAUUGCCUGGAAUGUACCACAUGUUCAUGUAAGCCUUUCAUCUUAUUAAAAGGAUUAUUCAAGGUGGA